UCGGAUUGCAGGCUGCAGCCCGCCUGUAUGAAGUUGGAAUCGCUAGUAAUCGCGGAUCAGCAUGCCGCGGUGAAUACGUUCCCGGGCCUUGUACACACCGCCCGUCACACCAUGAGAGUCGGGAACACCCGAAGUCCGUAGUCUAACUUUCACGAGAGGACGCGGCCGAAGGUGGGUUCGAUAAUUGGGGUGAAGUCGUAACAAGGUAAC
rnacentral:rRNA from 1 species